rnacentral:rRNA from 1 species
UGGGGAAUCUUGCGCAAUGGGCGAAAGCCUGACGCAGCCAUGCCGCGUGAAUGAUGAAGGUCUUAGGAUUGUAAAAUUCUUUCACCGGGGACGAUAAUGACGGUACCCGGAGAAUAAGCACCGGCUAACUACGUGCCAGCAGCCGCGGUAAUACGGAGGGUGCAAGCGUUAUCCGGAUUCACUGGGUUUAAAGGGUGCGUAGGCGGACAUUUAAGUCAGGGGUGAAAUCCCGGGGCUCAACCUCGGAAUUGCCUUUGAUACUGGGUGUCUUGAGUGUGAGAGAGGUAUGUGGAACUCCGAGUGUAGAGGUGAAAUUCGUAGAUAUUCGGAAGAACACCAGUGGCGAAGGCGACAUACUGGCUCAUUACUGACGCUGAGGCUCGAAAGCGUGGGGAGCAAACA